rnacentral:rRNA from 1 species
GCGCUCAGCUACAGCACUCAUGCACGUGUGAGCGGAUGACAGGAGCUUGCUCCUGGAUUCAGCGAGCGGACGGGUGAGUAAUGCCUAGGAAUCUGCCUGGUAGUGGGGGACAACGUUUCGAAAGGAACGCUAAUACCGCAUACGUCCUACGGGAGAAAGCAGGGGACCUUCGGGCCUUGCGCUAUCAGAUGAGCCUAGGUCGGAUUAGCUAGUUGGUGAGGUAAUGGCUCACCAAGGCGACGAUCCGUAACUGGUCUGAGAGGAUGAUCAGUCACACUGGAACUGAGACACGGUCCAGACUCCUACGGGAGGCAGCAGUGGGGAAUAUUGGACAAUGGGCGAAAGCCUGAUCCAGCCAUGCCGCGUGUGUGAAGAAGGUCUUCGGAUUGUAAAGCACUUUAAGUUGGGAGGAAGGGUUGUAGAUUAAUACUCUGCAGUUUUGACGUUACCGACAGAAUAAGCACCGGCUAACUCUGUGCCAGCAGCCGCGGUAAUACAGAGGGUGCAAGCGUUAAUCGGAAUUACUGGGCGUAAAGCGCGCGUAGGUGGUUCGUUAAGUUGGAUGUGAAAGCCCCGGGCUCAACCUGGGAACUGCAUUCAAAACUGACGAGCUAGAGUAUGGUAGAGGGUGGGUGGAAUUUCCUGUGUAGCGGUGAAAUGCGUAGAUAUAGGAAGGAACACCAGUGGCGAAGGCGACCACCUGGACUGAUACUGACACUGAGGUGCGAAAGCGUGGGGAGCAAACAGGAUUAGAUACCCUGGUAGUCCACGCCGUAAACGAUGUCAACUAGCCGUUGGGAGCCUUGAGCUCUUAGUGGCGCAGCUAACGCAUUAAGUUGACCGCCUGGGGAGUACGGCCGCAAGGUUAAAACUCAAAUGAAUUGACGGGGGCCCGCACAAGCGGUGGAAGCAUGUGGUUUAAUUCGAAGCAACGCGAAGAACCUUACCAGGCCUUGACAUCCAAUGAACUUUCCGGAGGAUGGAUUGGUGCCUUCGGGAACAUUGAGACAGGUGCCUGCAUGGCUGUCGUCAGCUCGUGUCCUGAGAAGGUUGGGUUAAGUCCCGUAACGAGCGCAACCCUUGUCCUUAGUUACAGCACCGUUAUGGUGGGCACUCUAAGGAGACUGCCGUGACAACCGAGGAGAAGGGGGGGGGGAAGACUCCAAUCCUCCGGGGCCCUUAGGGCUGGGGUAACCCGGGUUAAAGGGUGGGGACAAAAGGGUUCCAAACCCGCGGGGGGGACCUAUCCCCCAAACCAAUGAUAUCCGGAUCCAGUUGCACCCCCCCGGGGGGAAGCGGAAACCCUAAAUCCCAAAAAAAAAGAGGGGGGGAGAAAAUUUCCCGGCCUGUUCCCCCCCCCCCCCCCCCGGGGGAGGGGUGGUCCCAAAAAAUAUUUUACCCUCGGGAAGGUCCCGGGUUU